GACGAACGCUGGCGGCGUGCUUAACACAUGCAAGUCGAACGGAGUGGCGAACGGGUGAGUAACACGUGGGUGACCUGCCCUGCACUUCGGGAUAAGCCUGGGAAACUGGGUCUAAUACCGGAUAGUGUGGGAGGGGCCCGCGGCCUAUCAGCUGGUUGGUGGGGUAAUGGCCUACCAAGGCGGCGACGGGUAGCCGGCCUGAGAGGGUGGACGGCCACAUUGGGACUGAGACACGGUCCAGAAUCCUACGGGAGGCAGCAGUGGGGAAUAUUGCACAAUGGGCGCAAGCCUGAUGCAGCCAUGCCGCGUGUGUGAAGAAGGCCUUCGGGUUGUAAAGUUCUUUCGGUAUUGAGGUGUUAAUAGCACGACAAAUUGACGUUAAAUACAGAAGAAGCACCGGCUAACUCCGUGCCAGCAGCCGCGGUAAUUC
rnacentral:rRNA from 1 species